AUGAAAUCAUUUAGACAUCUCUCGGUACAACUUCUCUUGCUCGCCACCCUCUUUCCUAUACUCGCACUAUGCUAUAUUAAUCCAGCUACCACAAGCAUACACCAAAAUGCCACAAAAUCCUCUGCUUAUCGUGCUUACAUCGUGCUCGUCCAGCCACCACCCUCGAAUGCAGGCGAAGAUGCACACCACCAGUGGUACGAGUCUUUCUUGUCGACAUCGUUGGCAGGUGACUCUCGCAAGUCACGCCUUCUCUACUCCUACACCGAGGUGUUCAAUGGGUUCGCCGUAAGGCUCACCGAUGCCGAACUCGACAAGGUGUCCAAGAAGCCAGGGUUUGUGCGGGCAUUCCCAGACCAAACGCUGCAACUAAUGACCACCCACACGCCAGAGUUCCUUGGGCUAAGGAAUGGCACUGGGUUCUGGAGCCAGGCUGACUACGGGAAGGGAGUCAUCAUCGGGCUGCUUGAUAGCGGCAUCUAUGCAGCGCAUGCUUCCUUCAACGACCAUGGUGUUCCACCACCCCCAGCAAGGUGGAAGGGCUCGUGCGACGCGGCCCGGUGCAACAACAAGCUUAUCGGUGCCAAGUCACUCAUUGCAGAUCAUGACUCUGACGACGAACAAGGGCAUGGAACACACACCUCUUCCACAGCCGCGGGAAACUUCGUAACGGGCGCAUCAUACAAUGGCGUGGGCACAGGUACUGCGGUUGGAAUUGCCCCUAGUGCCCACAUUGCCAUGUAUAAGGUAUGUGAUGCUCGUGACUGCAAGGCAUCUGCUAUACUGGCCGGCCUAGAAGAGGCCAUCAAGGAUGGGGUGGACGUGCUCUCGCUCUCCCUUGGCAGCAGCACCGGCGCCAGCUUCGAUCAGGACCCGAUAUCUAUUGGCGCGUUCAGCGCCGUGUCCAAGGGCAUCCUCGUGGUGUGCGCCGCUGGCAACAACGGUCCGAUUCAGAGCUCCGUCACGAAUGAAGCACCAUGGUUGCUCACGGUCGCCGCUAGCUCCGUGGACCGGAGCUUCAGCGUCAACAUACAUCUCGGCAAUGGCAAGACCAUUGACGGAGAAGCACUUACCCAGAUAGGAAAUCCAAGAUCAAAGUUGCACUCUCUCCUCUACUCCAAGGAAUGGCGGUACUGCAAUUAUGACUAUGAUAAUAGCAUCACUGGUAAGAUCCUCCUUUGCAAGGACAAUAAGUCAAGGGCUCAACGGUCCAAAAUCCGCAACAUAGUGGGCGCUGGCGCGACAGGUGUGGUAUUGUUCAACGAUGAAAUCAGUGGCUACACCACCACUGUUACAGAUUACAACUCCAGUGUUGUACAGGUGACUGCGGCCGAUGGCGAGGCCCUCAUAGCUUACAUCGCGUUGACAGACAAUAGCUCUAUGGCGUCUCUUGCGUACAACGGUACACAGUUUGGCGUCCGCCCUGCCCCCGUCGUGACCUCGUUCUCUUCUCGGGGUCCAAGCUCACUCGCCCCCAACAUCCUAAAGCCGGACAUACUGGCACCGGGCCUCAACAUCCUUGCUGCUUGGCCGUCAAAAACGGGCCAUGGACAGGGCUCUUUCACCAUCAUAUCAGGCACAUCUAUGGCGACACCACAUGUCAGCGGUGUCGCGGCGCUCAUCAAAGGCAUCCAUCCUGACUGGUCGCCGGCCACCAUCAAGUCUGCCAUCCUAACAACGUCGGACAUCAUUAACGGUACUGGCGGCUCAAUCUUGGACGAGCAACAUAGAAAGGCCAGCGUGUACGACACAGGUGCCGGUCAUGUAAACCCGCCAAGAGCUGCCGACCCUGGCUUGGUGUAUGACCUCAGUGUCAUUGACUACGCUGGCUACAUCUGCUGGCUCCUUGGUGACAUCGGCCUAGCAACCAUAGUGCACAACUCGAGUUUGUCCUGCGCGAAGUUGCCCAAGGUCCAGGACGUGCAACUUAAUUACCCGACGAUAACCGUGCCGCUCACAUCCACGCAAUUCACUGUGAACCGAACUGUGACAAAUGUGGGUCCAGCAGAGUCAACAUUCAAGGUCAAAGUGGAUGUGCCAAGGUCUUUAACAGUGCGCGUCAUCCCAGAUACUAUGUCAUUCUCCAAAACCGGAGAGAAGAAGACCUUCAGUGUGUCCGUGAGUAGCCUUGAACUGGGCAAAGAGCUCUACGUGGAUGGAACCUUGAGCUGGGUAUCGGAGAAGCAUGUCGUGCGUAGCCCCAUCAUCGUUGUCCCCGCAUGA
rnacentral:rRNA from 1 species